GCUGACACAUCCCUGACAAUCUCCGGCAGACUCUCCCUCCCAGACUCUCCCUCCCAGACUCUCCUACUUGCUGGACAGCAUCCAUGUUGAAGGCAGCUUCAACAUGGAUGCUGUCCAGGAGGUGGGAGGGUCUGGGAGGGAGGGUCUGCCAGAGAUUGGCAGGGAUGUGUCAG